GACGAACGCUGGCGGCGUGCCUAAUACAUGCAAGUUGAGCGCUGAAUGUUGGUACUUGUACCAACUGGAUGAGCAGCGAACGGGUGAGUAACGCGUGGGGAAUCUGCCUUUGAGCGGGGGACAAUAUUUGGAAACGAAUGCUAAUACCGCAUAAAUUCUUUAAACACAAGUUUUAAGUUUGAAAGAUGCAAUUGCAUCACUCAAAGAUGAUCCCGCGCUGUAUUAGCUAGUUGGUGAGGUAAAUGCUCACCAAGGCGAUGAUACAUAGCCGACCUGAGAGGCGGAGCGGCCGCAUUGGGACUGAGGAACGGCCCGACCCCCUAGGAGAGGGAGCCGUAGGGAAACUUCAGCCAUGGACGAAAGUGUGACCGAGCAACACCGCGUGAGUGCAGAAGGUUGUCGGGUCGUGAAACUCUUUUAGUAAUGAAGAUUGUUGAUCUGAGUGGAACGGUCAUCAAAUGACGGUAACUACGCAAAAAGCGACGGCUAACUACGUG
rnacentral:rRNA from 1 species